AAUUAUUUAAUAUAAAAGUAUAUAUGGCUUCCAACCAUAAUGUCUGAAUCAUCAGAAUAAGUA
rnacentral:tRNA from 1 species